rnacentral:rRNA from 1 species
CUUCGGUUAUAAGAUCCCUCAAAGAUGAUGAGGUUAAUAGGUUCGAGGUGGAAGCGUGGUGACACGUGGAGCUGACGAAUACUAAUCGAUCGAAGACUUAAUCAA